ensembl:lncRNA
CUGGCCUCCUCCCUCCUCUCUCUCCUCACCUGUUCCUUGUCUUGUCAUUAGUGUUUGUGUAUUUAGUCUGUGUUUUCCCUGCACUCCUUGUCCGUUCAGUGCUUAUGUUGUUUGUACUCAUGUCACUGUCUACGUCUGCUCAUGUCCUGCCUGAUGUUCUCCCUGUGCCUCGUCUCCUGUUUGGUAUUGUUACCGGCUCAGGUAACAAAGAAACGGCCGAAGAGACUUUGCAUCCAAUUCACGUCUGUUGUUUUAAUUAAGUCAAACAAACAUAACGAUUUCAGAAUAAUCUCCACAUCAAACAGAACAAAAAAACAAAGCAAAGUUUCUGCCGCUCCUCUCAAAGGCCAGGCCCCUUUUAUGUCCUCGGCUGGGAGAUGCCCCGCGCGCUGGCACAUCCCCAUUCAGGAACACAGCGGAUCAGGCCUACAAGACGUGAGAACAGAGAUAAAUACAUUACAGAAAAACAUGGAUGAGAGGCCCAAGGGGCCGUAACAGGUAUGUUUUGGAUUUUUGCAUUUUGCAUUUUGAUUUGAACUUUGGUUUUGAUUUGUACUUUGCCCUUUUUCUUUGCACUUUGUUGAAUUGCUGUUUUGUUGCUACUUUGUCUUUCGUCCCCUUUUGUCUGAUUUUGGUACCUGGUUCAGCUUGAGAAUAAAGCUCGCUUUUUGUUUCCCACAUAUCCUAGUCCCGUGAAUAACUGCAUUUGGGUCCAACUCCUAUCCUUUUAGUUGUUUCCCCUUGAACCUCAGCAUGACAGUAACCCCGGCAAUUUCAUGCCUAAGUCGAUAAUUACAAAUGUAAAAAUGUGUUGGACAAGAAAAGGCGUAGUGGCCCACUCUGAGUUAUGACAAGCCACACUACACAUCGCUCUCCAAAUCGAUUAUUGAUGAUAUAGAAAUCUUGUUGAAAAACAAUCAAAUUCAAUAUACCCCCCUUGCAUUCGGCAAAUGCUUUGUCAAACUACGCUUCACGCCCAUGAAGCAGUUUUUCUAAUCACUAUUUAGAAAAUGACACACUCUGUUUAAUCGGGAUGAUGCUAGAUAUGUCAUACUAUAUAAACCAAGCAGGGGGAGAUUUACCAGGAUUUAUACGGUAACGGGUUUCACAGCCUUUUACAGGAUGGCGGUGCCUUUGUCAAAAAGUCGGUUCAGUCUGGUUUACCCCCAUUUAAGCAGCCACUACAAACAUAGUGGGGGAUGUAAAACAGUUAUGCAAAUCCUUCAAAACGAAGUCAGUCACCAAGAAUCGCAGAGCUCCAAGCCACAGUUCUAGGCUUUGUCUAGAGACAUAUUCUAGGCUAAAAGUCAGAGGUAGGUGACUCGAGUCACAUGUUUUGACACGAGUCGAACUCGAAUCGCAAAUUUGAGGACUUGAGACUUACUUGACAAACACUGAUGAAAGACUCGACUUGACUUUGACUUGGCAUUCAUAACUUGAGGCUUGACUUAGACUUGAAACAGAUGACUCGAAAGUCUUGGCUUUUCCUUCUUUCAUUUGUUUUGCGCAUAUUGAGAUGUUUUUAAUGCUUUUCCCUCUACCACUGUAUGACGCGGUGCGUCCAAGCCUGGCAGGUGGCUGGCAUGCCAGAGUGGCACUGUGGCGGACAGGAUCAGAGGAGGAGAGGCAGCAUGGAGGGAGCUCCGAAAAUCAUCAAAGUUGGAUUCAAAGAUUAUUUCAUGCCUGAGUGAUUUUGGCCGCCGUCUUGGUUAAAGUGUGUGUGUGUUUUUCAGAUAUAGCGUCUUCAGUGCGCUCAAAGCCAUUAUUUCAAAUGUAGGCCUGCGCUUUAUGCACGCUCACAACCCAACACGACACCGUAUCUGCACAUAUUCAGUGCGACACACUUGUUUUUUCGUGCACGUCCGCGACGGACCGUCUUCUCCCUUAGGUGUUGUGUCUGUGUCUCUCCUACUGUUUCUCACGGAGCUCUGGCCCAUUUGAAAGGAGAAAGGGCCCGUAUGUGUAAAGACGUCGCCUCCGAGAUGUUGAAUGUGUUUUAUAGAAGAGAAACACACAUUUCAGGACAGAACAGACAUGUCCUGUGACUUUCAGCCUCCUUUUAUAGCAGGAGAGGGGGAACAAUACCUUAGAGGAAUAUUCUCAGCUGUCAGGAUGUGCAGUAUGGUGCAGCUCCAGGGUUGAUAUUAAUCUAAUCUUAUUCUUGUAUUCAUGUGUUUGAAAACAUUUUUAAAAUUGAUCAGCUAUGCAAUUACAUCAUACUGUUGACUAACCACCCUCUUCAGUUUACUGUGUCUACUGAUAUGAAGAAUACAUCCAUACGAACUUCUUGUGACUUGCUUGACCUUAACCAUGACUCGACUUGACUUGCUUGAGUAAUAACAAUGACUUGACUUGACUUGACUUGCUUGAUUUUCAUCACAGUAACUUGGAACUUGCUUAAGACUUGAAGGUUAAGACUUGAAACUUGCUCAUGACUUGCACGUAUGUGACUUACUCCCACCUCUGCUAAAAAUAUAGAAAGAUAUCCAUGGCACUCAUUCAUUACCGGUCUGAAGAAUGUGUGAAGACCAAGUUGGAUUUACUGUUCCUUACACCCAGACAUCCAUUGAAAAAUCUACUUUUGUUGAAAUCCCUCCCGUUUUGGCAAUCACAGACACAGGUCCUCUUGAAUUUUUACAUGUCGGCAAGCGGGACCUAUACCUAAGUGAAUCAUACUUUUUUAUACGUGUGAGGAUUACAAAGAUGAUACAAACUUAGCUAACGCUGCCGUUGUGGGAUUUAUUAACUAUCCAGACAAAAAGGUACACCGUUCGGAGCCAUUUGUAUGAAUACCUUCACUGCCUGGUAGUGAUUGAGUCAAUACGUUUUUUCACGCUCAUACUGUUUUCGCCAAUGCCAAAUAUCGCUGUGGAAUACCUGAAUAUUUUUUUACCCUCUCAUAAAUGUCUGUGUCCGGUUAUUUUAGUACAUCUAUCAUGGCUUUAUGCAUUUCAUUUUGCGCUGUUUGCCUCGUGGAAUCAGUGUUCUGCUCAUGCUGUUGCUGUUCUUUUAAGCCAUCAAAUUGUUGUUGCAGGACCAAGAACAUUUUAUUUGUAUGUUCCAUUUCAACCCCUGUUAAAAAGAGUGGUUAUAAAUGGUAUAGCUGCUUCUAAUAGAGGUAAUAAAAUGCCUCCAGUCUGAUUGAUAGUCUUUUUCUUUUUUUUUUAUCAGCUGUUUGUACUGUUUAUCAGUGAAAGGGAUGUUCAAAUCAAAUCAAAUCAAUUUUAUUUAUAUAGCCCAAAAUCACAAUCACAUUGCCUCAGUGGGCUUAACAAUCUGUACAGUGAACAACAUCCUCUGUCCUUAGACCCUUGAUUCGAGUGAGGAAAAACUUCACAUGUUGAAGGAAAAACCUUUUAACAGGGUAAAAAAAACAAUGGAAGAAACCUCAGGAAGAGCCACAGAGGAGGGAUCCUACUUCUAGGACGGACAGACAUGCAAUAGAUGUUGUGUGUACAGAAAAGAGCAACAAUUCACAGUUUACAAGUUACAUUAACAGAAAGUCUGAUACAA